rnacentral:tRNA from 1 species
GUAGCUUAAACCACUAAAGCAUAACACUGAAAAUGUUAAAAUGGACAACCAAGUCCCGAAUGACAACAAAUAUCUUUA